rnacentral:rRNA from 1 species
UACGGAAGGCAGCAGUGGGGAAUAUUGCACAAUGGGCGCAAGCCUGAUGCAGCCAUGCCGCGUGUAUGAAAAAGGCCUUCGGGUUGUAAAGUACUUUCAGUCGUGAGGAGGGUGUUAAGGUUAAUAACCUUAGCAAUUGACGUUAGCGACAGAAGAAGCACCGGCUAACUCCGUGCCAGCAGCCGCGGUAAUACGGAGGGUGCGAGCGUUAAUCGGAAUUACUGGGCGUAAAGGGCACGCAGGCGGUUAAUUAAGUUGGAUGUGAAAUCCCCGGGCUUAACCUGGGAAUGGCAUUCAAGACUGGUUAGCUAGAGUCUUGUAGAGGGGGUAGAAUUCCAUGUGUAGCGGUGAAAUGCGUAGAGAUGUGGAGGAAUACCGGUGGCGAAGGCGGCCCCUGGACAAAGACUGACGCUCAUGUGCGAAAGCGUGGGGAGCAAACAGGGAUUAGAUACC